GACAUUCCUAUUCUGCCAGAGUCUUCUUGA
rnacentral:piRNA from 1 species